GUGCAACUUAGAGUAAAAGCUUGUAAAUAGGCAGACUCCUGGUGUGCAAUGGCUGCAAGCAGCAGCAUCCUUGGUAGUGUAUGCAACCUGUUGCCAGUAUGGGUUGCCUUAGGGACCUUGGAUACAGCC
rnacentral:snoRNA from 1 species